AGCAGCCGCGGUAAUUCCAGCUCCAAUAGCGUAUAUUAAAGUUGUUGCAGUUAAAAGCUCGUAGUUGAAUUUUAGGCCUGGCCGGGCGGUCCGUCUUUGGCGAGUACUGUCUGUUGUCGGGUCUUCCUUCUGGUGAACCAAUAUGUCCUUUAUUGGGUGUGCUGGGGAGCCAGGACCAUUACCUUGAAAAAAUUAGAGUGUUUAAAGCAGGCUUUUGCUUGAAUAGAUUAGCAUGGAAUAAUAGAAUAGGACGUUGUGGUUCUAUUUUGUUGGUUUCUAGGACCACCGUAAUGAUUAAUAGGGAUAGUUGGGGGCAUUAGUAUUCAAUUGUCAGAGGUGAAAUUCUUGGAUUUAUUGAAGACUAACUAUUGCGAAAGCAUUUGCCAAGGAUGUUUUCAUUAAUCAAGAACGAAAGUUAGGGGAUCGAAGACGAUCAGAUACCGUCGUAGUCUUAACCAUAAACUAUGCCGACUAGGAAUCGGGCGACGUUAUUUUAAUGACUCGCUCGGCGCCUUAUGGG
rnacentral:ncRNA from 2 species